UCCUAGUUAACCUAGGCAGUCUUGCUAGAGUGCCCAGCUUUACCUGCUGGCAACUAACAAUAAGGGUUGCGCUCGUUGCGGGACUUAACCCAACACCUCACGGCACGAGCUGACGACAGCCAUGCAGCACCUGUAUAGCAGCCCUUGCGGGAAGCCACAUCUCUGCAGCGGUCUACUAUAUGUCAAGUCUGGGUAAGGUUCUUCGCGUUGCAUCGAAUUAAACCACAUGCUCCACUGCUUGUGCGGGCCCCCGUCAAUUCUUUUGAGUUUCACCCUUGCGAGUGUACUCCCCAGGCGGUAUACUUAUCGCGUUAGCUACGACACAACCGGGGUUGAGACCAGUUACAUCAAGUAUACACCGUUUACGGCAAGGACUAC
rnacentral:misc_RNA from 1 species